rnacentral:rRNA from 1 species
AUGGCGACGAUGUCCCGCGCCCUCGGCUCGGCGUUCGUGGGGUUCACGCGGACGCCGGCCGUGCCGGCGACGACGCCCUUGCCGUUGCCCUCCUCUCGCGCCUCCUCGGCGCUGCUCCUGCGCUGGCAGCGGAGCCGGGGCGUCGGCGGCGUCGGCGGCAGCGGCGGCGCGCGGCGGUACUCCUCGGGCCGCAACGCGAAGAUUAGCAUGAGCCUCCGCGCCGGCAUCGUCGGCCUGCCCAACGUCGGCAAGUCCACCCUCUUCAACGCCAUUGUUGAAAAUGGGAAGGCCCAAGCUGCAAACUUUCCCUUCUGCACCAUAAACCCAAACACUGGCGUCGUGGCUAUUCCCGAUCCUCGCUUGGACGUGCUCUCAAAGUUAAGCAAGUCCAAGCAGACGGUCCCGACAUCCAUUGAGCUUGUCGACAUUGCAGGCCUCGUCAAAGGAGCAAGCAAAGGAGAGGGACUGGGAAAUCAAUUUCUUUCAAACAUCCGUGAAGUUGAUUCUAUACUCCAGGUUGUGCGAUGUUUUGAAGAUGAUGAUAUUGUUCACGUGAAUGGAAAAGUUGAUCCCAAGUCAGAUAUUGAUGUGAUUAACUUAGAACUCAUAUUUUGUGAUCUUGAACAGAUAGAGAAGAGAUUGGAUAAGCUUAAAAAGAGCAAAACUAAGGAUCCACAAGUAAAAGUGAAGGAAGGAGCGGAAAGGUCAGGAUUAGAAAAAAUUCUGGAUGCACUUAUGGAUGGAAAGCCUGCAAGAUCUGUUGAUUUGCCUGACCAUGAGAAAGAAGCUAUACAACAUCUUUAUCUGCUCACUAUGAAGCCAGUCAUUUAUGUUGCUAAUGUAACAGAGUCUGAUCUUGCCGACCCUGAUAAAAAUCCCCAUGUCCAGGAGGUGGCCAAACUAGCAUCAGAGCUGAAAUCUGGCAUGGUUACAAUAUCAGCUCAGGUUGAGGCUGAACUGUCUGAACUACCACUGGAAGAGAGAGUUGAAUACCUAAAUUCUCUUGAUGUUGCCGAAAGUGGGCUAGGCAACUUGGUAAAAGCAACAUAUAACCUUUUGGGACUAAGAACUUAUUUCACUACCGGAGAGCAGGAAACAAAAGCUUGGACCAUUAUUGCAGGCAUGACUGCACCUCAAGCAGCCGGAGUUAUUCAUAGCGACUUCCAGAAAGGCUUCAUUAGAGCUGAAACUGUAUCUUACGAUGAUUUUGUUGCGGCGGGUACUCUUGGAGCAGCAAGGGAGAAGGGAGUGAUGAGGUUGGAAGGGAAGGAGUAUAUUGUGCAGGAAGGAGAUGUCAUGCUCUUCCGAUUCAAUGUGUGA